CUGGAAUACACUAGACCUUUGCAGAGCUAGAUCUGAAUGAAAUUUCAACAUGUAGCAGUGGAAACCGAAGGAAGAGAACAGAGACGCCACUUCCUGUCCAGCCCAUGAUCAACUGUGGCUGAGUCUUGGAGCAGCUUUGGUCUGGGUCUGGGCAGACAGACGACGGCUUUCCUGGGAGUUGAGCCUUCGGAGCUUUCACCAGAAGAUCUAAGCUUCGAACCCUGGCAAUCACACUUUGGUUUCCACACCUCUAACUACGGUAGCUGCCUCAGACUGUCGAUCUGGG